UACGUAGGGGGCAAGCGUUGUCCGGAAUUAUUGGGCGUAAAGGGCGCGUAGGCGGAUUUUUAAGUCUGGUGUGAAAGAUCAGGGCUCAACCCUGAGAGUGCAUCGGAAACUGGAGAUCUUGAGGACAGGAGAGGAAAGUGGAAUUCCACGUGUAGCGGUGAAAUGCGUAGAUAUGUGGAGGAACACCAGUGGCGAAGGCGACUUUCUGGACUGUAACUGACGCUGAGGCGCGAAAGCGUGGGGAGCAAACAGG
rnacentral:rRNA from 1 species